rnacentral:rRNA from 1 species
GAUGAACGCUGGCGGCGUGCCUAAUACAUGCAAGUCGAACGCACAGACGAGGAGCUUGUUCCUCUGACGUUAGCGGCGGACGGGAGAGUAACAUGUGGAUAAUCUCCCUAUAAGACUGGGAUAACUUCGAGACACUAGAGCUAAUACCAUAAGAUAUAUUGAACCAUAUGGUUCAAUAGUGAAAGACGGUUUUGCUGUUACUUAUAGAUGGUUCCUCGCCGCAUUUGCUGGUUGGUAGGGUAACGGCUUACCACGGCAAGGAUGCGUAGCCGACCUGGGAGGUGGAUAGGCCACACUGGAACUGAGACACGAGCCAGACUCCUACGGGAGGCAGCAGUAGGGAAUCUUCGGAAAGGGGCGAAAGCCUGACGGAGCAACGCGGCGUAGGUGAGGAGGGUCUUGGGGUCGUAAGACUCUGUGAUUAGGGAAGAACAAAUGUGUAAGGAACAGUGCACGUCGUGACGGUACCUAAUCAGAAAGCCACGGCUAACUACGUG